UGGGGAAUAUUGGACAAUGGGGGGAACCCUGAUCCAGCCAUGCCGCGUGUGUGAAGAAGGCCUUAUGGUUGUAAAGCACUUUAAGCGAGGAGGAGGGUACUGGUAUUAAUACGACCAGGUACUGGACGUUACUCGCAGAAUAAGCACCGGCUAACUCUGUGCCAGCAGCCGCGGUAAUACAGAGGGUGCGAGCGUUAAUCGGAUUUACUGGGCGUAAAGCGUGCGUAGGCGGCUAAUUGAGUCGGAUGUGAAAUCCCCGAGCUUAACUUGGGAAUUGCAUUCGAUACUGGUUAGCUAGAGUGUGGGAGAGGAUGGUAGAAUUCCAGGUGUAGCGGUGAAAUGCGUAGAGAUCUGGAGGAAUACCGAUGGCGAAGGCAGCCAUCUGGCCUAACACUGACGCUGAGGUACGAAAGCAUGGGGAGCAAACAGG
rnacentral:rRNA from 1 species